rnacentral:rRNA from 1 species
UACGGAGGGUGCAAGCGUUAUCCGGAUUCACUGGGUUUAAAGGGUGCGUAGGUGGGUUGGUAAGUCAGUGGUGAAAUCCCCGAGCUUAACUUGGGAACUGCCAUUGAUACUAUCAGUCUUGAAUACCGUGGAGGUCAGCGGAAUAUGUCAUGUAGCGGUGAAAUGCUUAGAUAUGACAUAGAACACCAAUUGCGAAGGCAGCUGGCUACACGAAUAUUGACACUG